CCCUUAGAUGUUCUGGGCUGCACGCGCGCUACACUGAUGCACUCAACGAGUUUACGACCUUGCCCGAUAGGGUUGGGUAAUCUUUUUAAAAUGCAUCGUGAUGGGGAUAGAUUAUUGCAAUUAUUAAUCUUCAACGAGGAAUGCCUAGUAAGCGCAAGUCAUCAGCUUGCGUUGAUUACGUCCCUGCCCUUUGUACACACCGCCCGUCGCUCCUACCGAUUGAAUGGUCCGGUGAAGCGUUUGGACUAUGGUUUUCUGACGGUUCGCCAUUGGAUUACCGUGGGAAAUUCGUUAAACCUUAUCAUUUAGAGGAAGGAGAANUCGUANCA
rnacentral:rRNA from 1 species